UGGGGUAUCGCCAAGCGGUAAGGCACCAGGUUUUGAUCCUGGCACUCCCUGGUUCGAAUCCAGGUACCCCAU
rnacentral:tRNA from 1 species